GAAAUGCGAUAAGUAAUGUGAAUUGCAGAAUUCAGUGAAUCAUCGAAUCUUUGAACGCACCUUGCGCUCCUUGGUAUUCCUUGGAGCAUGCCUGUUUGAGUAUCAUGAAAUCUUCAAAGUAAAUCUUUUGUUAACUCAAUUGGUUUCUACUUUGGUAUUGGAGGUCUUUGCAGCUUCACACCUGCUCCUCUUUGUUCAUUAGCUGGAUCUCAGUGUUAUGCUUGGUUCCACUCGGCGUGAUAAGUUAUCUAUCGCUGAGGACACUGUAAAAGGUGGCCAAGGUAAAUGCAGAUGAACCGCUUCUAAUAGUCCAUUGACUUGGACAAUACUUUUAUGAUCUGAUCUCAAAUCAGGUAGGACUACCCGCCGACCUUAAGC
rnacentral:misc_RNA from 1 species